rnacentral:rRNA from 1 species
UAGGGAAUAUUGCUUAAUGGGCGAAAGCCUGAAGCAGCAACGCCGCGUGCGCGAUGAAGGCCUUCGGGUUGUAAAGCGCUUUUGGUGGGAAGAGGGAGGGCGGUAACAGCGGGAUAAGGCCCGGCCGACCAACUGGCAGCAGGCGCGGUAAAACGUAGGAGGCGAGCGGUAUUCGGAUUUUCCGGGGUGUAAAGCGCGUGCAGGCGGUUUGCUAAGUUGGGUGUGAAAGCUCCUGGCUCAACUGGGAGAGGUCGCUCAAGACUGGCAGACUGGAGAGCAGUAGGGGAAGGUGGAAUUCCGGGUGUAGUGGUGAAAUGCGUAGAUAUCCGGAGGAACACCAGUGGCGAAAGCGGCCUUCUAGACUGCAUCUGACGCUCAGACGCGAAAGCUAGGGUAGCAAACGG